rnacentral:rRNA from 1 species
GAUGAACGCUGGCGGCGUGCCUAAUACAUGCAAGUCGAGCGAACGGACGAGAAGCUUGCUUCUCUGAUGUUAGCGGCGGACGGGUGAGUAACACGUGGAUAACCUACCUAUAAGACUGGGAUAACUUCGGGAAACCGGAGCUAAUACCGGAUAAUAUUUUGAACCGCAUGGUUCAAAAGUAAAAGACGGUCUUGCUGUCACUUAUAGAUGGAUCCGCGCUGCAUUAGCUAGUUGGUAAGGUAACGGCUUACCAAGGCAACGAUGCAUAGCCGACCUGAGAGGGUGAUCGGCCACACUGGAACUGAGACACGGUCCAGACUACUACGGGAGGCAGCAGUAGGGAAUCUUCCGCAAUGGGCGCAAGCCUGACGGAGCAACGCCGCGUGAGUGAUGAAGGUCUUCGGAUCGUAAAACUCUGUUAUUAGGGAAGAACAUAUGUGUAAGUAAAUGUGCACAUCUUGACGGUACCUAAUCAGAAAGCCACGGCUAACUACGUG